AACUUAAUAUUAAAUAUAUACUCAAAUAUUUUAUUCCCAUCAAAAUCAAUUAUAGGGCUAACACCAAGCUCUGAUAUCACUUGUUAUCCAAAUAGACAACCCAAGAAGGAAAGAUGAAUUGGAUUUUUCAAAAAUUUAAAACUUACUAUGCAUGAAACUUAAACUAGGUGAAGCAAUGUGUAGUGGGAGCUAUGUAGUAUAAUAAAAGUAUGAAGAUACAAACAAUAACUAAUGAAGAGAAA
rnacentral:lncRNA from 1 species